UGCAAGUCGAACGAUGAACCACUUCGGUGGGGAUUAGUGGCGAACGGGUGAGUAACACGUGGGCAAUCUGCCCUGCACUCUGGGACAAGCCCUGGAAACGGGGUCUAAUACCGGAUACUGACCCGCCUGGGCAUCCAGGCGGUUCGAAAGCUCCGGCGGUGCAGGAUGAGCCCGCGGCCUAUCAGCUUGUUGGUGAGGUAACGGCUCACCAAGGCGACGACGGGUAGCCGGCCUGAGAGGGCGACCGGCCACACUGGGACUGAGACACGGCCCAGACUCCUACGGGAGGCAGCAGUGGGGAAUAUUGCACAAUGGGCGAAAGCCUGAUGCAGCGACGCCGCGUGAGGGAUGACGGCCUUCGGGUUGUAAACCUCUUUCAGCAGGGAAGAAGCGAAAGUGACGGUACCUGCAGAAGAAGCGCCGGCUAACUACGUGCCAGCAGCCGCGGUAAUACGUAGGGCGCGAGCGUUGUCCGGAAUUAUUGGGCGUAAAGAGCUCGUAGGCGGCUUGUCGCGUCGGUGGUGAAAGCCCGGGGCUUAACCCCGGGUCUGCAGUCGAUACGGGCAGGCUAGAGUUCGGUAGGGGAGAUCGGAAUUCCUGGUGUAGCGGUGAAAUGCGCAGAUAUCAGGAGGAACACCGGUGGCGAAGGCGGAUCUCUGGGCCGAUACUGACGCU
rnacentral:rRNA from 1 species